CGGCCCGCGUCUGAUUAGCUAGUUGGUAGUGUAAUGGACUACCAAGGCGACGAUCAGUAGCUGGUCUGAGAUGGUGAUCAGCCACAUUGGGACUGAGACACGGCCCAAACUCCUACGGGAGGCAGCAGUAGGGAAUCUUCGGCAAUGGACGAAAGUCUGACCGAGCAACGCCGCGUGAGUGAAGAAGGUUUUCGGAUCGUAAAACUCUGUUGUGAGAGAAGAACGACGAGGAGAGUGGAAAGCUCCUCGUGUGACGGUAUCUCACCAGAAAGGGACGGCUAACUACGUGCCAGCAGCCGCGGUAAUACGUAGGUCCCGAGCGUUGUCCGGAUUUAUUGGGCGUAAAGCGAGCGCAGGUGGUUUAUUAAGUCUGGUGUAAAAGGCAGUGGCUCAACCAUUGUAUGCAUUGGAAACUGGUAGACUUGAGUGCAGGAGAGGAGAGUGGGAUUCCAUGUGUAGCGGUGAAAUGCGUAGAUAUAUGGAGGAACACCGGUGGCGAAAGCGGGUCUCUUGGCUGUAACUGACACUGAGGGUUCGAAGCGUGGGGGAGCAACAAGAUUAAAUACCCCUGGGAGUCCACCCCCUAAACGAUGAGUGGUAGAUUGUAGGGGCUAUAAAUUCUCUGUAUCCCAACUAAACCAAUAAGCACCCCCCCCGGGGAGGACGACCGCCAGGGUGAAA
rnacentral:rRNA from 1 species